CCGGCCCCUCCGCCGCCACCCCCGCGCCACAGGGUCGCGGCCAGCGCCGCGCUGCCCGUCCCCCUCAGCGCCCCGGCUGAGCCCUGCUGCGGAGCGGAGCCUGCCGUCUGCCCUUUGCGGUGUUCCCUCCCCGGCAGGUCCCGCACGGCGCGGCCCCGCAGCGCCGAGGCCCCUGAAGCGACUUGCCCGGGGGCUGUCGGGGGUCACCCGGGCGGUCGGGAGCGAGAGGAGCCUGGGCCGAGUCACUUGGGCUCGUGCCGCCUGGGAUCGUGUUUUGGGGUCUGCAAGAGCCAGAAAAUGUCUGCAGAGCCCCUGACUGUUUUUUGGAGGUCUAAAGACUCCUUUGGGGGUUAUAGAGGGAAGCGGGGGAGAGCGGGAGGAGAGUGGAAGGUGAGGGCUGAGAUGGCCUGAAGCGCUGUAGUGAAGGGAGAUGAGGAGCCAGAGCAUCCGUGGCAUUUCUUUAGUCUUCAGUAAAGAUCUUCAGUGAGUAACCUACCAUGGGAGUCGGGAUAUCAGCAGCCUCAGCCUCCAAAGUCUGUAAAGGCUGGCAUGGGACAGAGCACCGUCUGGGAAGCUGUGUCAGGAGCACUCACCUCUUGACACGGCUGCUAAUACGUGGUUAUUACAGCCCAUUUUGCUGAGCUGAGGUUUGCCUCUGACAGCUGCUCUGGUGAUAAAGUGUUUUACCUCAUCUAAAAAUCAUAAA